UACGUAGGCAGCGAGCGUUGUUCGGAGUUACUGGGCGUAAAGGGUGUGUAGGCGGUUGUUUAAGUUUGGUGUGAAAUCUCCCGGCUCAACUGGGAGGGUGCGCCGAAUACUGAAUGACUUCGAGUGCGGGAGAGGUGAGUGGAAUUCCUGGUGUAGCGGUGAAAUGCGUAGAUAUCAGGAGGAACACCGGUGGUGUAGACGGCUCACUGGACCGUAACUGACGCUGAGACACGAAAGCCAGGGGAGCAAACGGG
rnacentral:rRNA from 1 species